CCUACGGGAGGCAGCAGUAAGGAAUGUUGGUCAAUGGAGGCAACUCUGAACCAGCCAUGCCGCGUGCAGGAUGACGGCCCUAUGGGUUGUAAACUGCUUUUAUACAAGAGAAAACCCUGGUACGUGUACCAGGUUGAUAGUAUUGUAAGAAUAAGCAUCGGCUAACUUCGUGCCAGCAGCCGCGGUAAGACGAAGGAUGCAAGCGUUAUCCGGAUUCAUUGGGUUUAAAGGGUGCGUAGGCGGACUGAUAAGUCAGUGGUGAAAUCUCUUUGCUUAACAAGAAACUGCCAUUGAUACUGUCGGUCUAGAGUAUAGAUGACGUUGGCGGAAUAUGACAUGUAGUGGUGAAAUACUUAGAUAUGUCAUAGAACACCGAUUGCGAAGGCAGCUAACGAAACUAUAACUGACGCUGAGGCACGAAAGUGCGGGGAUCAAACAGGAUUAGAUACCCUGGUAGUCCGCACCGUAAACGAUGAUUACUCGUUGUUGGCGAUAUGACAGUCAGCGACCAAGCGAAAGCGAUAAGUAAUCCACCUGGGGAGUACGCCGGCAACGGUGAAACUCAAAGGAAUUGACGGCGNGAGAGNGCGAGGACGACGACGAGGGAGGAGG
rnacentral:rRNA from 1 species